rnacentral:rRNA from 1 species
GCUCAGUAACACGUGGUUAAUCUGCCCUUGGGUGAGGAAUAUUCCCGGGAAACUGGGGCUAAUACCUCAUAGUGGAUAUAAUCUGGAAUGGUAUAUCCUCGAAAGAUUUAUCGCCCAAGGAUGAGACUGCGUCCGAUUAGGUUGUUGGUGGGAUAACGGCCUACCAAGCCUUUUAUCGGUACGGGUUGUGGGAGCAAGAUCCCGGAGAUGGAUUCUGAGACAUGAAUCCAGGCCCUACGGGGCGCAGCAGGCGCGCAAACUUUACAAUGCGAGCAAUCGUGAUAAGGAAACCCUGAGUGCCUGUCGAUGCAGGCUGUUCAUAUAUUUAAAUUGUAUGUGAAGAAAGUGCAGGGCAAGACCGGUGCCAGCCGCCGCGGUAAUACCGGCUGCUCGAGUGAUGGCCACUAUUACUGGGUUUAAAGCGUCCGUAGCUUGAUUUUUAGGUCUCUUGGGAAAUCUUUUGGCUUAACCACAAGGCGUCUAAGAGAUACCGGGAAUCUUGGAACUGGGAGAGGUAAGCCGUACUUCGGGGGUAGGAGUGAAAUCUUGUAAUCCUCGAGGGACGACCUAUGGCGAAGGCAGCUUACCAGAACAGCUUCGACAGUGAGGGACGAAAGCUGGGGGAGCAAACGGGAUUAGAUACCCCGGUAGUCCCAGCCGUAAACAAUGUGCGUUAGGUGUGUCGGUUAUCACGCGUAACUGAUGCGCCGAAGAGAAAUCGUGAAACGCACCACCUGGGAAGUACGGUCGCAAGGCUGA